rnacentral:rRNA from 1 species
UACGGAGGGUGCUAGCGUUGUUCGGAAUUACUGGGCGUAAAGGGCGCGUAGGCGGCCGGUUGCGUCGGAUGUGAAAGCCCGGGGCUCAACCUCGGAACGGCAUUCGAUACGGGACGGCUGGAGACCGGGAGAGGAGAGUGGAAUAGCCAGUGUAGAGGUGAAAUUCGUAGAUAUUGGCUGGAACACCGGUGGCGAAAGCGGCUCUCUGGCCCGGUUCUGACGCUGAGGCGCGAAAGCGUGGGGAGCAAACAGG